rnacentral:lncRNA from 1 species
ACCUUUUGAGCCACUGUCACCACCUAAACUGACUUGGGUGUGGGAUUCAGAUAGAGCAAGGUUGCUGAGUCUCCCAUUUUCUCUUCUUUCACCUUGGGGAGCCUCUAGUUAAACCUGGCUCUCCCUGCAGACCUGGGAACCAGAGAUCUGAACACGGAAAGCUGGAACAAGCUGACUGGGUGCCACACUCUGUGGCCACUGCGUUCCCUGCCUAUCCGGCCUCACGAUGGUGGUGGCCAGGCUUUAGAAGGCCCCAGUCUAAGGGUCAGAACCAGUAGCCUCCUGUAGUAGUAGAUUGGCAAGGGAGAGGAAUGAGAGACAGAAAGAAAAUUUUGAGCAACAAAAGUGGAGGCUUUACAAAUAUAUUCAAUCCAUUGUUUAUUCAGGAAAUAGUGGUUUGUUUUUUUGACGGGCACCUUUUGGGGACCCCAUACACCCCAACAUUUGUAAAAAUGAAACUAUCACUUUUCCAAAGGGAACCUUACCAGUGAGGUCAUUUGGUUCUUCAAAAGUGAACCUAGAGAAUGAGAGAGGGGUAGAAGCGGGAUAGAGAUAAAGGAAAAGAGGAGGAGUGGAGAGAACCAGGGCUUUGAAUUUUCAGCGCGUGGCUGAGGGGACUGUGAGGCAACGGAGGGCCGAGUUAAGUUGUUGCCGAAGCAAACAUUUUUAUCAAGUGCAGAGGAUUUUAUGGUCAUUAUUUGAAAACUCACCGGCGAGGUACAAAUUCAAUGGCUUGUUCUAAAUCAUCUCUACACCGUGCCAGAAAUUCCUGAUGGAAGGAAAAUGUUUCUAUUAUAGGAAGAAAAAAAAAAAAACAAGAAAGAGCGAGGAGACAAUUUAUAAACACCCAGCGGAGCGCAGAUUUAUUAGAGAAACUCAAGUUGAGGAGAAACUCCGCUUACCUCCUUGCACUAAGUCCUGGUGGGGGAGAGGAGAGGCUGCAGCUGGGGUGAUUUUGAGGGGGUGGGAGUAUCUAUUGCUGGCGCAGGUUUGUCGGAUGGAAGGCAGGGAUCCGGCGGGGCCGGCAGGACACAGAAGAUUUGGAAUGCAAGGGGCUGUGGACAACCAGGGUGCGGGUCUCAGAACGAAAGUGCCCGGAGUCCAGACCUCCAGCUGCUCAAUGAGGAAAGGACCGGCGCCACCAGGUUUGCCUGCGGCCAGGGCCAAGGCGCACUGAAGCCGCACCUCUCACCUGGAAGCCCAGGAACCCAGGGAGAACAGAGCUCCUGCGUCCUGACGCCGCGCCCGCCUUCGCGCCCAUGGGAAAACGCGCAUUAUUUGGGAGCGCGCAAAUCAUCCAGAGACCACAUCCGAGCCUUCCCGCACCCUGCUGCCCUGGGGAGCCCCUGCCCGGUGCCUAGGUCGCCCUGCGCGAGCCCAGCCCAGCCCUGGACUCAUACAAAGGCUCCAGAGCCUGCGCCCGUGCGAAGCCGCCCCAGACAUAAGCAGCUGCCGCUCCAGGGAGUUUCACAUGGAGCAAGGGUGCCAUCUAGCGGCUGCUCUGCGAAAAGGCGCCGCAGCCACCGGCUCCACCAGUUUUCUGGGACAGCAGCCGCAGAGGUGGCCAGCAGGAGAAACUUUCAUAACUAGCAGUAAAAGGGGAGGGAUAGGGAGUGGGCAUCGGAAUCAGGAAACGGCUCAUGAAAUUGUGUAGAUAAGCUAAGAAAUAGAAAAAAAAAACACAACACAGGGGAGGAAAAAAAAGAAGCCCUAAGCUUUUUUUUUUCUACUACACCUCCUACCCCUGCCCCUAAUUUCUAGCGGAGACCGCAAAGCAGUGCGCUCUUUAUGGCCUGCAAAAAGGGGGACCGAGCACUUUUCAAACUCCACACGACUGUUUCAAAUUCUGAGGAGAAACAGUUGGGCUUUUUGUCGGGGGAGAGGAGGCCUGAGAGGAUAGGAUGAGACUGUAAAAGAAUCAAGAGGCUGCCCGCGCCCAGACGUCUGGCCCCGCCGGACCUGAGUGUGUCUGUGUGUGUGUGUGUGUGCGCGCGCGCGCGCGCAGGAGGCUCCUCGUUUCCGACGCCUGAUUCUGGAGGGGGUGUGAAGAACAAAGACAAGAGCCCCAGUUGCAAUUUCUGAAGCAUUUGCGACAACAAAGUGUUCUUUCCCGGCUUCUCUCUUCUCCCUCUCUGCCCCCUGCCACCCCCCGCCCCGGAAGCCCGGAGCCCCGUGUUCUGUGCGGGUGAGGGUGAAAGCUGCUGGAGCGGGGCCCACCCAUUCCCCCGCCAGGCCGGGAGCCCCGGCCCAGCUGCGGCUCUCUCAGCUCCGGAAAGUUUCCCUUGCUGUUUG